GUUACAUUUUAAUUUCAGGCCAAAAGUAAAUACUUUUUUUAGUCUAAGUAUGUCCCAUAUAAUAUUUGGGACAUACCUAUACUAAAAGAUAAUUUGUUAUUGAUCUGGAAUUCAAGCGUAACUGGCUGUC
rnacentral:miRNA from 1 species